UCCUCAAUGGUCUAGUGGUCAUGAUUUCCGCUUGUCAAAGCACCUUGCUUAACAAGCGCGGGAGAGUAAGCUACCACAAUUAACCAUUCAUGAUUACAAUCAUGCUAACGGAUGUUGGCAGCCAGGGUUCGAUUCCCUGUUGGGGAG
rnacentral:tRNA from 1 species